GAGCUUGCAGUGCCAGAGAGAAGAAUAUCAGCGCAGCUAGGAGUUGUCCGUUAAGAUUUAAAGUUGAAGUUUAGUUAACAUGUCUUAGCCAUUUAGAUUGCUGUUUGAUUCAAGAAGUGUGCGUUCCUAAAACAACCACACACACAAGAUAUAGUCCUUUCAUCAAACCCAAAGGCAAUCUCAGUUGUAAAUCAUGCCUCAAGAAUAAAGGAUAUUCACUUUGGAAGAUCACAGAUUCAUGUGCAUUCAUAUUAAGGGUUCUAACCGACUCUCCACAGAGUUCUGAAAUAUUCCAAUCAGCAUACUUAAACACUCUAAAACAAAACUGGAGUACAAUAAUGAAGACGAGGACCUUGUCAUCUCCUCGCCUCGUCAGAAUUGGUUGUUAAGACCCUGAUCCAUCACAACAUUGUGCUCUUUCACCUGCCUGUUUGCCUUUUUUUUUUUUUUUGGCUUUAUGCCUUUUAAUGAUAGGACAGUGGAGAGUGACAGGAAGCGAAUGGGAGAGAGAGCAGGGGUGGGAAUCGAACCCGGGUCGCCGGUGUACGGUGCAGGUGCCCCAGCCAGUUGGGGCCGGCCGUUUGCCUUUUUUUAAAGUCUUUCAUUUACAGUUUGUUUGAGGAGACACUGUGAGCAUGUGAGUGUUCUGAGCAGCAGGUUGUGAGCAUCUCUGUUUCUACUCCCAUAUGGCACACUUAGUUAGUGUGCCUUAGUUCUACUGGGGUCGUUCUCGCUCUCUCUCUUUCUCUCCAUCUCUCUAUUUUUCUCUCUCUUUUUAAAUCAUUUUUACUUUCCACCAUUAAUUUAUGCAGCAAUGUUGUCUGCAACAAAGACUGACACAAUGAAAAAAUGGAGAUAAUAAAACUUUUAUUUGUUGAAA